UACGGAGGGUGCGAGCGUUGUCCGGAAUCAUUGGGCGUAAAGGGCGCGUAGGUGGCCCGGUCAGUUCGUGGUGAAAGCGCGGGGCUCAACCCUGCGUCGGCCAUGAAUACUGCCGCGGCUGGAGCACUGUAGAGGCAGGCGGAAUUCCGGGUGUAGCGGUGGAAUGCGUAGAGAUCCGGAAGAACACCGGUGGCGAAGGCGGCCUGCUGGGCAGUUGCUGACACUGAGGCGCGACAGCGUGGGGGACAAACAGG
rnacentral:rRNA from 1 species